GACGAACGCUGGCGGCGUGCUUAACACAUGCAAGUCAAGGACCGUAGCAAUACGGGACUGGCGCACGGGUGCGGAACACGUAGGCAAUCUGCCCUUAAGGGGAGAACAACCAGUCGAAAGAUUGGCUAAAUCUCCGUAAAAUCAUAGAGUGGCAUCACUUAUUGAUCAAGUUUUCUUAGGGAUGAGCCUGCGUCUGAUUAGCUAGUUGGCGGUGUAAUGGACCACCAAGGCUACGAUCAGUAGCUGGUCUGAGAGGAUGAUCAGCCACAUUGGGACUGAGAUACGGCCCAGACUCCUACGGGAGGCAGCAGUGAGGAAUAUUGCUCAAUGGGGGAAACCCUGAAGCAGCAACGCCGCGUAAAGGAUGAAGGCGCUUUGCGUU
rnacentral:rRNA from 1 species